AUACGGAGGGUCCGAGCGUUAUCGGGAAUCAUUGGGUUUAAAGGGUCCGUAGGCGGGAAUCUAAGUCAGUGGUGAAAUCUUGCAGCUCAACUGUAAAAUUGCCAUUGAUACUGGAUUUCUUGAAUUAGUGUGAAGUGGUUAGAAUGUGUAGUGUAGCGGUGAAAUGCAUAGAUAUUACACAGAAUACCAAUUGCGAAGGCAGAUCACUAACACUAUAUUGACGCUAAGGGACGAAAGCGUGGGGAGCGAACAGGAUUAGAAACCCCAGUAGUCC
rnacentral:rRNA from 1 species